GACAGGAGAUUGGAGAUGGAGCUCGGGAGACAAGAUGGAGUUUGGGCUGCUCGGUGCUCCAUCCCAUGAAUCAAUCUGCAAUCUCCUUGUAUUAUUUUGGGUGAAGAUCCCGGUGUCACUGAGAGUCAAUCAUCUGCUAGAUGCUUCUAUUGGGCAGUUUUCUAAAAAAUAAUAAGGCAGAGAAUCCAGUCUUUGGAAUCAGCCGGGGUAAAAAUCAUGUCUGGAGACGGAGAGUCCACUAAUUACCAAGCAGAUGCCUGAGUGUGAAAGACAGAGAUUUGAAAGGAGACACAGAAAGACUGAAGGUUCUGCAGGAAUACGGAAGGCGUCCCCAGGCUGCCCAUAAGGCUGCAAGAAGAAAAGGCUCUGUCUGUGACAGGCACCCAGGUCCCUUUCGACGUACGCUAAGCGCUUGCUGUGUGUUACUGUGUCUAAUUUGCACAGACACAUCAACAGCAUCCCCUAGGGUGAAGUGACAUGGACAUAAAACAGAAAUUGAAAGACCCAGUGACAGAGCUCCUGAUGGCUUAAGUGACCAUAUCUACAUCUGAAACCACAUGAGGCAGUCAACAAACUGCCAGCGAAGGAA